UCAAUGAACAGACAUCUCUGGAGAGAAAUUUGAAGCCACAAUCAUCUGACGCUUAAGUGCUGCUGCUGGGACGUUGUUGAUUCUGAGUAGCAUCAGUGACUUUUUGUUUGUUUGCUCUUCUCGUCUGACUGGGGUGAAGGAAAAAGGAAAGCAGCAAUCCAUCUGCAAUCCCUGCCUCUGGUUUGCUCAGCAAACAAAGAGCAGGAAUGAAGCUUAAUACUUACUGACUUCGCUAAUGAGCUGUCAGGCUGAAACUGCAAUUUCACUGGCGAUGUGAAACUGCACAGUCAUGAAGUUCUAUCUUCAGAGUUAUUAUGGCAAAGGUCAAUUAUAAAAACCACAAAGAGGAAGGGUUCCAGAACAGAUCCCUGCAGACACCACUGGUUACCGGCCUCCAUGCAGAAUACGAACCAUCUACAACCACCCUUUUCCUUCUGUGGGCAAGCCAAUGGAGUUAAAUUGACUUUAUAUCUUACAUCCUUCA